rnacentral:rRNA from 1 species
CAGCAGCCGCGGUAAUACAGAGGGUGCGAGCGUUAAUCGGAUUUACUGGGCGUAAAGCGUGCGUAGGCGGCUUCUUAAGUCGGAUGUGAAAUCCCUGAGCUUAACUUAGGAAUUGCAUUCGAUACUGGGAAGCUAGAGUAUGGGAGAGGAUGGUAGAAUUCCAGGUGUAGCGGUGAAAUGCGUAGAGAUCUGGAGUAAUACCGAUGGCGAAGGCAGCCAUCUGGCCUAAUACUGACGCUGAGGUACGAAAGCAUGGGGAGCAAACAGGAUUAGAUACCCCUGUAGUCCCUGUCUCUUAUAC